AUGCGGGGUGGAGCAGUCUGGUAGCUCGUCGGGCUCAUAACCCGAAGGUCAUCGGUUCAAAUCCGGUCCCCGCU
rnacentral:tRNA from 1 species